AUGGGAGCAGGUGGCGGUUGGGUGCCACCACCUCUGGGUGUCACCUCACAGGGGACCCUGGAGGGGCCAUGGGGACACCAGAGGGACCCCAUGGGGACAGGGGACACUGUGGGGACCCCGAGGGGACACUAUGGGGACACCAGCGGGACCCAGAGGGGAUGUGGCAGGGCCACCAUCCCCCCCGUGAGGAAGGGGGGGACCCUGGAGGGGCCAUGGGGACCCCAAAGGGACACAGGGGCCACCAGAGGGACCAUGGGGCCACCAGAGGGGACAGGGACAUUAGGCCAUGGGGACACCAGAAGGACCUCAUGGGGACAGGAGAUGCUGUGGGGACCCAGAGGGGCCAUGGGGACACCAGAAGGACCCCAUGGGGACAGGGCACCUCGUGGGGACACCAGAAGGGACAAGGGCUUCCCAAGAGCAACACAGGGACAUGGCAGGGGCCACCCUCUUCCCCAUGGGGACAGGGGACCUUGGAAAGGGCCAUGGGGACACCAGAGGGGACAGGUACAUUGGACAGGCCAUGGGGACACCGGAAGGACCCCACGGGGACAGGGGACACUGUGGGGACCCAGAGGGGCCAUGGGGACACUGGAAGGACCUUGGGGACACCAGAAGGACCCCAUGGGGACAGGGGACACUGUGGGGACACUGGAGGGGAUGAGGGCCUUGGGGACACCAGAAAGACCCCAUAGGGACACCAGGGGGGACAUGUCAAGGCCACCCUACCCCAUGAGGGUCCUAGAAGGGCCAUGGGGACACCAGAGGGGACAAGGACCUUGGAAGAGCCGUGGGGACACCAGAAGGACCCCACGGGGACAGGGGACACCGCGGGGCCACCGGAGGGGAUGGGGACCUUGGAAGGGCCGUGGGGACACCAGAGGGGACAUGUCAAGGCCACCCUCCCCCCUAGGAGCCCCCACGGGGACGUCGGAGGGACGCGCGCGGGGACAGGAGGACGCAGAGGGGACAGGCGGUGGCUUUCCAUCCCGGGUUUAUUCCUCGCCCGGGGGCGGCGGCUUUUCAAUAUGA
rnacentral:lncRNA from 1 species